rnacentral:rRNA from 1 species
ACGCUCGACACCUACGGGAGGCAGCAGUGAGGAAUAUUGGUCGAUGGACGCAAGUCUGAACCAGCCAUGCCGCGUGCAGGAUGACGGCUCUAUGAGUUGUAAACUGCUUUUGUACGAGGGUAAACGCAGAUACGUGUAUCUGUCUGAAAGUAUCGUACGAAUAAGGAUCGGCUAACUCCGUGCCAGCAGCCACGGUAAUCUGAGCGGGCUGGCAAGGC